rnacentral:rRNA from 1 species
UAGGGAAUAUUGCGCAAUGGUCGAGAGACUGACGCAGCGACGCCGCGUGUGGGAGGAAGCCUUUCGGGGUGUAAACCACUGUCAGACGGGAAGAAGACCGUGUGUCCAAACAGGGCAUGCGCAUGACGGUACCGUCAGAGGAAGCGCCGGCUAACUCCGUGCCAGCAGCCGCGGUAAGACGGAGGGCGCAAGCGUUGUUCGGAAUUACUGGGCGUAAAGCGCGGGCAGGUGGUCCGUUAAGUCUUCUGUGAAACCCCGGGGCUCAACUCCGGACAUGCAGGAGAUACUGGCGGACUAGAGAUCGGUAGAGGCUAGUGGAAUUCCUGGUGUAGCGGUGGAAUGUGUAGAUAUCAGGAAGAACACCGGUGGCGAAGGCGGCUAGCUGGGCCGAGUCUGACACUCAUCCGCGAAAGCGUGGGGAGCAAACAGGAUUAGAUACCCCCGUAGUCC